UACGGGGGGAGCAAGCGUUGUUCGGAUUUACUGGGCGUAAAGGGCGCGUAGGCGGCCACCGCAAGUCGAUCGUGAAAUCUCCGGGCUUAACCCGGAAAGGUCAGCCGAUACUGCGGGGCUAGAGUGCAGAAGGGGCAACUGGAAUUCUCGGUGUAGCGGUGAAAUGCGUAGAUAUCGAGAGGAACACCUGCGGCGAAGGCGGGUUGCUGGGCUGACACUGACGCUGAUGCGCGAAAGCUAGGGGAGCGAACGGG
rnacentral:rRNA from 1 species